rnacentral:pre_miRNA from 1 species
GUAGGGCUAUCUGUCUUUAAGUAGGGUACAUUACUCUAAAAGAAAUGAAUCCUAGAUAGUUUUCCCUUCAAGUCAAGCUCUUG